rnacentral:rRNA from 1 species
AUUGAACGCUGGCGGCAUGCUUUACACAUGCAAGUCGAACGGUAACAGGCCGCAAGGUGCUGACGAGUGGCGAACUGGUGAGUAAUGCAUCGGAACGUGCCCAGUCGUGGGGGAUUACGCAGCGAAAGCUGCGCUAAUACCGCAUACGAUUUAUGGAUGAAAGCGGGGGACCGUAAGGCCUCGCGCGAUUGGAGCGGCCGAUGUCAGAUUAGGUAGUUGGUGGGGUAAAGGCUCACCAAGCCAACGAUCUGUAGCUGGUCUGAGAGGACGACCAGCCACACGGGGACUGGGAGCCCGACGAGAGUACUACUGGAGGCAGAAGUGGGGAAUUUUGGACAAUCGGCGCAAGAGUGCUCCUGCAUUGCAGCGUGCAGGAAGAAGGCCUUCGGGUUGUGAACUGCUUUUGUACGGAACGAAACGGUCCUAGUUAAUACCUGGGGCUAAUGACGGUACCGUAAGAAUAAGCACCGGCUAACUACGUGCCAGCCGCCGCCGUAAGAC